rnacentral:tRNA from 1 species
GGCCCAAUGGUCUAGUAGUAUGAUUCGCGCUUCGGGUUUUCAUCUAUAUGCGCGAGGUCCCGGGUUCAAUUCCCGGUUGGGCCC